rnacentral:pre_miRNA from 14 species
UUCUAUGUGAAAGACCCCCGAAGUGGGGAGACCCUCACUCAAGUCUCAGGAUGACGCAACCCCCCAAGAACUCAUGAGAGACC